rnacentral:rRNA from 1 species
UACGUAGGGGGGCUAGCGUUGUCCGGAUUUAUUGGGCGUAAAGAGCUCGUAGGCGGUUGGGUAAGUCGGGUGUGAAAACUCCAGGCUCAACUUGGAGAUGCCACCCGAUACUGCUCUGACUUGAGUUCGGUAGGGGGAGUGGGGAAUUCCUGGUGUAGCGGUGAAAUGCGCAGAUAUCAGGAGGAACACCGGUGGCGAAGGCGCCACUCUGGGCCGAAACUGACGCUGAGGAGCGAAAGCGUGGGUAGCAAACAGG